UGUGUUUUUUUAGGAUCCUAACAGUUAGCUGUGUGUUUCAGGUCUGUUCCCAGCCAUCUUGAACUUGGCGAGUAACGCAGUGAUUACCAGCAAUGCGACAUGUGGUGAUCCAGAACCUGAGGUUUACUGUAAACUGGUGGAACAUGUUCCAGGACGACGAAUCAAGAACCCGCACUGCCCUAAAUGUGAUGCCAACUCCGUCCUAUCCAAAGAACGCCAUCCGAUAACAAACGCCAUCGAUGGGACGAAUCAGUGGUGGCAAAGUCCAAGUAUCAAGAACGGCCGACAGUUUCACUGGAUUACCAUCACCCUGGACCUCAAACAGGUGUUUCAGGUCGCCUACAUCAUCAUCAAGGCCGCAAACUCUCCUCGCCCAGGUAACUGGAUCCUGGAGCGCUCUCUGGACGGUGUGACCUUUGACCCCUGGCAGUAUUACGCCAUCACUGAUUCUGAGUGUUUGUCUCAUUAUAACGUGACGCCAAGACUCGGACCACCAACCUACAAGACGGACACCGAGGUCAUCUGCACGUCCUACUACUCCAGACUGAACCCGCUGGAGCAU